UUUUUUUUCCUUAUUUUGUUUCUUCUUCCUUGGUGGAUUGGACUUGUCUUCCAGAGGCACGCCAUUGCUUGCCUUUGGUUCUUAUAAAAACAUAAUUUUCUUGCUUCUCCUCUUCUUGUCCUGUUUUUUCUUCUUUCCCUCCUUCUUCUUCUCAACCUUCUCUUCAACAACAACCUGCUCAUAUUAUUUUUCUUCUUCCAGCUCUCCUAAUAUGUGCGUUGGAAAAGUGGGUGGAUCUAUCAUGU
rnacentral:lncRNA from 1 species